rnacentral:rRNA from 1 species
AGAGUUUGAUCAUGGCUCAGGAUGAACGCUAGCGGGAGGCCUAACACAUGCAAGCCGAGCGGUAUUGUUUCUUCGGAAAUGAGAGAGCGGCGUACGGGUGCGGAACACGUGUGCAACCUGCCUUUAUCUGGGGGAUAGCCUUUCGAAAGGAAGAUUAAUACUCCAUAAUAUAUUGAACGGCAUCGUUUAAUAUUGAAAGCUCCGGCGGAUAGAGAUGGGCACGCGCAAGAUUAGCUAGUUGGUGAGGUAACGGCUCACCAAGGCGAUGAUCUUUAGGGGGCCUGAGAGGGUGAUCCCCCACACUGGUACUGAGACACGGACCAGACUCCUACGGGAGGCAGCAGUGAGGAAUAUUGGUCAAUGGGUGCAAGCCUGAACCAGCCAUCCCGCGUGAAGGACGACUGCCCUAUGGGUUGUAAACUUCUUUUGUAUAGGGAUAAACCUACCCUCGUGAGGGUAGCUGAAGGUACUAUACGAAUAAGCACCGGCUAACUCCGUGCCAGCAGCCGCGGUAAUACGGAGGGUGUAAGCGUUAUCCGGAUUUAUUGGGUUUAAAGGGUCCGUAGGCGGACUUAUAAGUCAGUGGUGAAAGCCUGUCGCUUAACGAUAGAACUGCCAUUGAUACUGUAAGUCUUGAGUAUAUUUGAGGUAGCUGGAAUAAGUAGUGUAGCGGUGAAAUGCAUAGAUAUUACUUAGAACACCAAUUGCGAAGGCAGGUUACCAAGAUAUAACUGACGCUGAGGGACGAAAGCGUGGGGAGCGAACAGGAUUAGAUACCCCGGUAGUCCAA